rnacentral:lncRNA from 1 species
CUAGAGGGCAGAUCUCUGGCAAGUUCCAGAAAGACUUGUAGAUUCUCAACAAGUUCCAUUGGCACACCACCACAGAAACUUCUCCACCACCUGCCGAGACACUGUGGUUCCCUCUCAGCCCAGGGCUAGGAGGAAGACUCUUCCUAGGACUCCUUGCAUCUGCUGUACCCACCUAUAUUCUUCAGGGCUAUCUUUACAACUUACUAGCCAACCUUUUGCUACUCUAAUCUGCUAUUAAGGUUAAUGAUUAAACAUAUUAAACAUUUCCAUUCAAAUGACUGUGUGGUUUCUCUCUCCUAGUUGGACCCAGACUGACACUCUUGCCUGAGGGCACAGACCAGGGAGCAGCAAUCAAUACUGGACACCAGGCAGCUUCCACGCUUGACAGUGUUGCCAGACCCUCGCGUGGGCAGGAGGGCACAGCUCUCUAGGAGGCAACAUUAUCCACUGGAGCAUCUAGAAGCACAAGUACUUCCAUGAUGGUCAGAGGCAGAAGAGGAUGCGGAGCAGGGUAGAAGACUCUCAUGACUACCUGCACGCCACCAUCUUCCCCGGCCUGGCGCAAUUGCCUUCAGGAUAUGUACAGCAUGACCCACAGGGAUUUCACUUCAUGGAAUGCAAAACCAACCUGCAUGAGCUUUGUUUGAAAACAAAACAAAACAAAACGAAAACAAAACAAAACAAAACAGAGAAAUCCUAUCUAUAAAAUUACUCUUAAUGGAAAUUCUGCCUGUAUAAAAUUAAAGUGGCAGCCAUCUGUGGAAUCCCACUGCUGAAUGACCGUUGCACAUAGCAGCUUGUUUCAGAACCCUGUCAGAUGACUUUGUGCUGGGCACCAAGUGGCAUUGUUACAGAUGCCGGGGUACACACACGGAGACAGCUCCAGGCAAGGUGCAUUGUUAGGCAAGCUUCCUGUGAGGCAAAGCUAGCCACAGAUGGAAGCCUGCACCCAACCCUACUGCCCAGAGGAACCCCAGGACCCUCAGCCAUCCCUUCCUGGAAUUGCUCAACAUAGAGGAUGCAGCUGGGCGGCAGGUAGCUUGGGGCAAGUUCUUAGCCCUGCUUGUCCACUGCCUGGAAACAGACUUGGUGCUAUUACGGAGUGCAACCAGCCCUUUGGAUUGCGUGGGAGCUGGGUGAGGCCUGUGACUGCUGGCUGUCCCCACUUCCCUGACAACCUGCAUGACUCAGCAGAGGGAGCCAUAAUCCUCCUAGCAGGUGCUGGUAUCCAUGGCUGAGAGACCCACAGACGGUUAACAUCACAGGACUCUGUGCAGACAACCCCCAGUACCAGCCUGGAGCCUGGUAGACUUGCUGGGUGGCUGGACCCAGAAGAGAGAUAACAAUCACUACAGCUCAGCGCUCAGGAAGCCACAUUCAUAGGAAAAGGGGGAGAGUACUACAUCAAGGGAACACCCUGUGGGACAGAAGAAUCUGAACAACAGCCUUCAGCCCUAGACCUUCCCUCUGACAGAGCCUACCCACAUGAAAAGGAACUCUGGUAAUAUGACAAAACAUAUUAGGCUCUUUAACAUCCCCCAAAAAUCACACUGGCUUACCAGCAAUGGAUCCAAACCAAGAAUAAAUACCUAAUUUAUCUGAAAAAAGAAUUCAGGAGGUUAGUUAUUAAGCUAAUCAAGGAGGCACCAGAGAAAGGUGGAGCCCAGUGCAAGGAAACCCAAAAAAUGAUACAAGAAGUGAAGGGAGAAAUAUUCAAGGAAAUAGAAAGCAUAAAGAAAAAACAAUCAACACUUCAGGAAACUUUGGACACACUUAUAGAAAUGCAAAAUGCUCUGGAAAGUCUCAGCAAUAGAAUUGAACAAGUAGAAGAAAGAAAUUCAGAGCUCAAAGACAAGGCAUUGAAUUAACCCAACCCAACAAAGACAAACAAAUAAGAAUAAAAAAUAUAAACAAAGCCUCCAAGAAGUCUGGGAUUAUGUUAAAUUACUAAAACUAAGAAUAAUCAGCAUUUCUGAGGAAGAAGAGAAAUCUAAAAGUUUGGAAAACAUAUUGGGGGAAUAAUCGAGGAAAACUUCCCUGGCCUUGCUAGAGACCUAGACAUCCAAGUGCAAGAAGCACAAAGAACUCCUGGGAAAUUCAUCUCAAAAAGAUCAUCGCCUAGGCACAUUGUCAUCAGGUUACCUGAAGUUAAGAUGAAGGAAAGAAUCUUAAGAGCUCCAAGACAAAAGCACCAGGUAAGUUAUAAAGGAAAAUUUAUCAGAUUAAUAACAGAUUUCUCAGCAGAAACCCUACAGCCUAGAAGGGAUUGGGGCCCUAUCUUCAGCCUCCUCAAAUAAAACAAUUAUCAGCCAAGAAUUUUGUAUCAAGUGAAACUAAGUGUUAUACAUGAAGGAAAGAUACAGUAUUUUUCAGAUAAACAAAUGAUGAGAGAAUUUGCCACUACCAAGCCACCACUAAAAGAACUCUAAAAGUGCUCUAAAUCAUGAAACAAAUCCUGGAAACACAUCAAAACAGAACCUCUUUAAAGCAUAAAUCUCACAGGACCUAUACAACAAAAAUACAAUUUUAAAAGCAAAAACAAAAAACAAAAAACCAAGGUACAUAGGCAAUAAACAGCACAAUGAAUAAAAUGGUACCUCCCAUCUCAAUACUAAUAUUAAAUGUAAAUAGCCUAAAUGCUCCACUUAAAAGAUAUAGAACUAUAGAAUGCAUAAGAAUUCACCAGCCAACCAUCUGCUGCCUUCAAGAAACUCACCUAAGACAUAAGGACUCACAUAAACUUAAACUAAAGAGGUAGAAAAAGGCAUUUCAUGCAAAUGGACACCAAAAGCAAGCAGGAGUAGCUAUUCUUACAUCAGACAAAACAAACUUUAAAGCAACAGCAGUUAAAAAAGACAAAGAGGGACAUUACAUGAUGAUAAAAGGCCUUAUCCAAUUUUAGGAAAAUAUCACAAUCCUAUACAUAUAUACAUCUAACACUGGAGCUCCCAAAUUUACAAAACAAUUACUAAUAGACCUAAGAAAUGAGACAGACAGCAACACAAUAAUAGUAGGG